rnacentral:sRNA from 1 species
GCUUUGUUAGUGUUUGGGAGUCAAAUAUGACUAGAUGUCAUGUGGAUGAUUGAGUAUAAGAACUAGAACCGCAAUUG